rnacentral:rRNA from 1 species
GACGAACGCUGGCGGCGUGCUUAACACAUGCAAGUCGAACGGAAAGGCCUUUUCGGAGGUACUCGAGUGGCGAACGGGUGAGUAACACGUGGGUGAUCUGCCCUGCACUCUGUGAUAAGCCUGGGAAACUGGGUCUAAUACCGGAUAGGCCCGCACUUUAGUGUGUGUGGUGGAAAGUUUUUUGGGUGUAGGGUGCGCCCGCGGCCUAUCAGCUUGUUGGUGGGGUAAUGGCCUACCGAGGCGGCGGCGGGUAGCCGGACUGGGAGGUUGGACGGCCACAUGGGGACUGAGGGACGGCGCAGACGCGUACGGGAGGCAGUAGUGGGGAAUCUUGCACAAUGGGGACGAGGCAGAUGCAGCGACCCCGCGGGGGGGAUGACGGCCUUCGGGUGGAAAAAUCCUUUCGCGAGGGAAGAAGCGUUUUGUGACGGCACCUGAAGAAGAAGCACCGGCUAACUACGUG